rnacentral:tRNA from 1 species
AGGUAAGAAGUGGCUGCACGCUUUAACUUCGAAUUAAAGAAAGAACUUUUUCCUUAUCUAUUAAACUAUAGUUUAACAAAAACAUUUAACUUACAAUUAAAAAUUACCUAUGUUAGUUUAAAUCACAAAUCUCGUGACUACCCCCACAAAGAAAAU